UGGGGAAUUUUGGACAAUGGGCGCAAGCCUGAUCCAGCAAUGCCGCGUGCAGGAUGAAGGCCUUCGGGUUGUAAACUGCUUUUGUACGGAACGAAAAGCCUCUCUCUAAUACAGGGGGGUGAUGACGGUACCGUAAGAAUAAGCACCGGCUAACUACGUGCCAGCAGCCGCGGUAAUACGUAGGGUGCAAGCGUUAAUCGGAAUUACUGGGCGUAAAGCGUGCGCAGGCGGUUUUGUAAGACAGUGGUGGAAUCCCGGGCUCAACCUGGGAACUGCCAUUGUGACUGCAAGGCUGGAGUGCGGCAGAGGGGGAUGGAAUUCCGCGUGUAGCAGUGAAAUGCGUAGAUAUGCGGAGGAACACCGAUGGCGAAGGCAAUCCCCUGGGCCUGCACUGACGCUCAUGCACGAAAGCGUGGGGAGCAAACAGGAUUAGAUACCCUGGUAGUCCACGCCCUAAACGAUGUCAACUGGUUGUUGGGGAUUUAUUUCUUCAGUAACGAAGCUAACGCGUGAA
rnacentral:rRNA from 1 species